rnacentral:rRNA from 1 species
CUAGCGACUUCAGAGUUUGAUCCUGGCUCAGGAUGAACGCUGGCGGCGUGCUUAACACAUGCAAGUCGAACGGAGCUUAUUUGAUAGAGACUUCGGUCAAUUGAUUCUAAGCUUAGUGGCGGACGGGUGAGUAACGCGUGAGGAAUCUGCCUUGGAGUGGGGAAUAACACAGUGAAAAUUGUGCUAAUACCGCAUAAUGCAGUUGAGUCGCAUGGCUCUGACUGCCAAAGAUUUAUCGCCCUGAGAUGACCUCGCGUCUGAUUAGCUAGUUGGUGAGGUAACGGCUCACCAAGGCGACGAUCAGUAGCCGGACUGAGAGGUUGGCCGGCCACAUUGGGACUGAGACACGGCCCAG